rnacentral:rRNA from 1 species
UACAGAGGUCGCAAGCGUUGUUCGGAUUUACUGGGCGUAAAGGUCCCGUAGGCGGCAUGGCGUGUCGGAUGUGAAAGCUCCGGGCUCAACCCGGAAAGUGCGUCCGAAACUACCGUGCUGGAGUGCGGAAGGGGGAAUCGGAAUAUAGGGUGUAGCGGUGAAAUGCGUUGAUAUCCUAUAGAACACCGGAGGCGAAGGCGGAUUCCUUGCACGCAACUGACGCUGAGGCGCGAAAGUCGGGGGAGCAAAC